AGCAGCCGCGGUAAUUCCAGCUCCAAUAGCGUAUAUUAAAGUUGCUGCAGUUAAAAAGCUCGUAGUUGAAUUUCGGGACUAAUAUGUUGGUCGUGCCUCGGUACGUACUGAUAUUUUUGGUUUCUCCCUUCUGACGAACCUUGAUGUCAUUAAUUUGGUGUCUUGGGAAAUCAGGACUGUUACUUUGAAAAAUUAGAGUGUUUAAAGCAGGCUCACGCUUGAAUACAUUAGCAUGGAAUAAUGAAAUAGGACGUUUGAUUCUAUUUUGUUGGUUUCUAGGAUCGACGUAAUGAUUAAUAGGGAUAGUUGGGGGCAUUAGUAUUCAAUUGUCAGAGGUGAAAUUCUUGGAUUUAUUGAAGACUAACUACUGCGAAAGCAUUUGCCAAGGAUGUUUUCAUUAAUCAAGAACGAAAGUUAGGGGAUCGAAGACGAUCAGAUACCGUCGUAGUCUUAACCAUAAACUAUGCCGACUAGGGAUCGGAUGAUGUUUAAUUUUUUAAUGUACUCA
rnacentral:rRNA from 1 species